rnacentral:rRNA from 1 species
UAGGGAAUAUUGGACAAUGGGUGCGAGCCUGAUCCAGCCAUGCCGCGUGCAGGAAGACGGCCUUCUGGGUUGUAAACUGCUUUUGCCAGGGGAUAAAAAGACCAUGCGUGGUCAAUUGAAGGUACCUGGUGAAUAAGCCACGGCUAACUACGUGCCAGCAGCCGCGGUAAUACGUAGGUGGCAAGCGUUGUCCGGAUUUAUUGGGUUUAAAGGGUGCGUAGGCGGUCUUAUAAGUCAGUUGUGAAAUACU